AUUGAACGCUGGCGGCAGGCCUAACACAUGCAAGUCGAGCGGAGCGGCGGACGGGUGAGUAAUGUCUAGGAAUGUGCCUGGUAGUGGGGGAUAACGACCAGAAAUGGGCGCUAAUACCGCAUACUAUCAGAUGAGCCUAGAGCGGAUUAGCUAGUUGGUGGGGUAAAGGCCUACCAAGGCGACGAUCCGUAGCUGGUUUGAGAGGAUGAGCAGUCACACUGGAACUGAGACACGGUCCAGACUCCUACGGGAGGCAGCAGUGGGGAAUAUUGUACAAUGGGCGAAAGCCUGAUCCAGCCAUGCCGCGUGUGUGAAGAAGGUCUUCGGGUUGUAAAGCACUUUAAGUAGGGAGGCGUUACCAACAGAAUAAGCACCGGCUAACUUCGUGCCAGCAGCCGCGGUAAUAC
rnacentral:rRNA from 1 species